AAUGUGCUCAGUCCUGGGGACUGUGAGGAGACAGUUUUAUUCCUUACCAAGAUGAAGCUCCUGUUGUUGAGUCUGGGACUGAUCCUCAUCUGUGCUCACACGGAAGGAACCCAUUAUGGUUGGAAAAGAAAAUUUGAUCCACGGAAGUGUCCUUUUAAGAAGUCCUUCAUGAAACCCGGGCAUUGGACAUCUUCACUGUCUCUUCUAGAAGAUGCAUUGUGUUUGUUUCAUGGAAAGAAUAGGUCAAGCACCAGAUGUGAGCUCAGAACUCAAGAAGAAAUUUGUAAAAUUUUGUAAAAAAUAUGGAAUUGUUAAGGAAGAUAUAUCGGACCUGACCACUGUUGACCGCUGUAUCCAGGCCCGAGGUGGAACACAGUCCUAAGUCUCCAGGGCAGAGAGAAAGUUUCCCCACCUGGGCUCCAGCAUCAUCUAUCUCCUUCCUCAUUGCUACGCCAUCUUAUGACAAGUUCUGUCACCUGAUUUCCACCACUGUCACAUAUGAAUGUGUCAUCCUGGAUCUCGAGGAUCUUCCCAGAUUGCUGAGGAAGAUUCAUCCAAUCACCAAGAAUCAAAGGCUUUCUCUAAAUUUCUCUCUUUGCCACACCCAGGUCAACUCUACAUGAAGAAGGUCUUUCUCUAUCCCUUCAAUAAA